rnacentral:rRNA from 1 species
UACGGGGGGGGCAAGCGUUGUUCGGAAUUACUGGGCGUAAAGGGCUCGUAGGCGGCCAACUAAGUCAGACGUGAAAUCCCUCGGCUUAACCGGGGAACUGCGUCUGAUACUGGAUGGCUAGAGGUUGGGAGGGGGAUGCGGAAUUCCAGGUGUAGCGGUGAAAUGCGUAGAUAUCUGGAGGAACACCGGUGGCGAAGGCGGCAUCCUGGACCAAUUCUGACGCUGAGGAGCGAAAGCCAGGGGAGCAAACGGG